rnacentral:rRNA from 1 species
AUUGAACGCUGGCGGAACGCUUUACACAUGCAAGUCGAACGGCAGCACGGACUUCGGUCUGGUGGCGAGUGGCGAACGGGUGAGUAAUGUAUCGGAACGUGCCCAGUCGUGGGGGAUAACGUAGUGAAAAUUACGCUAAUACCGCAUACGAUCUAUGGAUGAAAGCGGGGGAUCGCAAGACCUCGCGCGAUUGGAGCGGCCGAUAUCAGAUUAGGUAGUUGGUGGGGUAAAGGGCCACCAAGCCAACGAUCUGUAGCUGGUCUGAGAGGACGACCAGCCACACUGGAACUGAGACACGGUCCAGACUCCUACGGGAGGCAGCAGUGGGGAAUUUUGGACAAUGGGCGAAAGCCUGAUCCAGCCAUUCCGCGUGCAGGAUGAAGGCCCUCGGGUUGUAAACUGCUUUUGUACAGAACGAAAAGGUUUCUACUAAUACUAGGAGCUCAUGACGGUACUGUAAGAAUAGGCACCGGCUAACUACGUGCCAGCCGCCGCAGUAA